CGUGAUAGGGUUUCCACGACGCUCUUCCUUCCCGUGACCCACCCGGAUACAGAACUGGCGGAGGACAGACAGGAAGGCGAGCCUCGGAUUCCAACCAGAUGGGGAAGACCCGUGGUAUGGGAGCUGGGCGCAAGCUCAAAACUCACAGGAGGAGGCAGAGAUGGGCAGACAAGGCAUACAAGAAAAGUCAUCUCGGCAAUGAGUGGAAGAAACCCUUUGCUGGUUCCUCACAUGCCAAGGGUAUUGUCCUUGAGAAGAUAAAAGACGUAUCGAAGCUAAGCAGCCUAACUCUGCUAUCCGAAAGUGCGCUAGAGUCCAGCUGAUAAAGAAUGGCAAGAAAAUUGCAGCCUUUGUCCCAAAUGAUGGUUGCUUGAAUUUCAUGGAAGAAAAUUGAUGAAGUCUUGAUUUCGGACGCAAGGGCCAUGCGGUGGGUGACAUUCCUGGAGUCAGGUUCAAGGUGGUGAAGGUCUCUGGCGUGUCCCUAUUGGCGCUCUUCAAGGAGAAGAAGGAGAAGCCUCGGUCUUAAUGACUAGAGCUUCCGGAUGAACCCAUUGAGUCUUUGUUUCACGACUAAUUUUGUAUGCCUCUUUGAAUAGUUUCCAGUGAACUGUUUGUUACAUGACGUUUCAUUGUUAUCCAUUCUUGAGAAC